AUUUGGACCAACUGACCAUUUGCAAGAAUUCACCUAAUGUUUUGUGUUUAAAGAGUGUGAGAGUUGGUUGAUUUGAAUAUGUGGAUGAUUGAUGAUGAGUGUAAGGGCAAAAAGAGUUGAGAUAGGCCUAGAGAAGCUAGAGUGUAAUAAGAGAGUGUGCUAAUUGUGUGUGCUAGUAGUGUUUCUUUUGGCUAUGAGCUCCCAACUUCAAACCUCUCUCCCUAU
rnacentral:lncRNA from 1 species